rnacentral:rRNA from 1 species
UACGGAGGGUGCAAGCGUUGUCCGGAUUUAUUGGGUUUAAAGGGUGCGUAGGCGGCCCGGUAAGUCAGUGGUGAAAGCCUCCAGCUCAACUGGAGAACUGCCAUUGAUACUGCCGGGCUUGAGUACAGACGAGGUUGGCGGAAUUGAUAGUGUAGCGGUGAAAUGCAUAGAUACUAUCAAGAACUCCGAUUGCGUAGGCAGCUAACUAGGCUGUAACUGACGCUGAGGCACGAAAGCGUGGGGAGCGAACAGG